rnacentral:lncRNA from 1 species
GGGUAGGUGAGGGACUUGACAGAGUUCCCUCAGAGGGGAUUGGCGACAGUGUGGAAACUACCACCAUACAAUGUACAAGCGCCGAAGUAGAAUAUCUGGAGGUCAAGGAUUAGAAGUCGAGAAGUUUCUAAGCUUUGGAGUAGGGUAGGCGGUGAUGAAGAUUUGGAAGCCGCAGUCAAGAGUGAACCGUCGACAAUGUCAG